rnacentral:misc_RNA from 1 species
AACAUCGCGCACCUGCGGGAACCUGCGGAAGGAUCAUUACAGAGUUGCAAAACUCCCUAAACCAUUGUGAACGUUACCUAAACCGUUGCUUCGGCGGGCGGCCCGGGUCCUUCCCGGCGCCCAUCGGCCCUCGCGGGCGCCCGCCGGAGGUAAACCAAACUAUUGCAUUGUAUGGCCUCUCUGAGUCUUCUGUACUGAGUAAGUCAAAACUUUUAACAAUGGAUCUCAGAUCGGAAGAGC